rnacentral:rRNA from 1 species
AAGACCUUGCGCUUUUGGAGCGGCCGAUGCCUGAUUAGCUUGUUGGUAAGGUAAAGGCUUACCAAGGCUUCGAUCAGUAGCUGGUCUGAGAGGACGGCCAGCCACACUGGGACUGAGACACGGCCCAGACUCCUACGGGAGGCAGCAGUGGGGAAUUUUGGACAAUGGGGGAAACCCUGAUCCAGCCAUGCCGCGUGAGUGAAGAAGGCCUUCGGGUUGUAAAGCUCUUUCAGCCGGAACGAAACGGUUACGGAUAAUACCCGUGACUACUGACGGUACCGGAAGAAGAAGCACCGGCUAACUACGUGCCAGCAGCCGCGGUAAUACGUGGGGUGCGAGCGUUAAUCGGAAUUACUGGGCGUAAAGCGUGCGCAGGUGGUUUUGUAAGUCAGAUGUGAAAGCCCCGGGCUCAACCUGGGAACU